rnacentral:rRNA from 1 species
UUAGGCGGACGGGUGAGUAACGCGUGGAAAACCUGCCGUAUACUGGAGGAUAACACUUAGAAAUAGGUGCUAAUACCGCAUAAGCGCACAGCUUCGCAUGAAGCGGUGUGAAAAACUCUGGUGGUAUACGAUGGUUCCGCGUCUGAUUAGCUAGUUGGUGGGGUAAUGGCCUACCAAGGCAACGAUCAGUAGCCGGCCUGAGAGGGUGAACGGCCACAUUGGGACUGAGACACGGCCCAAACUCCUACGGAAGGCAGCAG